AUCUCCCCUUGGAAGUGUCUAGAAAUGCAAAUUCUACUUUUUGAAUGUUUCAGGGUAAGAAGGUGAAGAAAGAAAGACCAGAAAUAUUUUUCCAACCUGGAUGGUUCACCUCUCCUUAAGACAAUCUGGCAAGUUCCCUGCUUCCAGAAGCUGAUGAGCUUAAUUUACUCUUCCCACAACACUCCCUCUCUUGGUGGCAUCAUCUUGGCUACAAGUUGAACUUGGAAAGCAUCUCUGCAAUGGUCACUGUACCUUGUCUUCUAGAAGAAUGGAUUUCAGCUGGAAAAAAUAAAUAUUUUAAACAAAUAGAAUCUAAAUGAUACAGAUUUUAUAAGGAGUUAUUUUAAGAUUGUAAAAUUUGUUUAAGUGCAGAAUUGCUGCAUCAAAUGUAUCAAAGAGACUUCAGGUGACUAGAACCCAAAAGAAAUCAACUUCCUCAACAAUCAACACAUUGAGAAUGAAAAGGCAGCAAUACAGUGACAAAUACAAGACAGAAGCAAGUAUCGUCUUUAAUUUUUAUCUAGAUAUUUCAUAGUUUCCAAAUAAAAAGCAAAUAUAUACUAAUCAAGACUAAUUUUACUCAGAAAACACUGCGUGUAGUUUUGCUGAUAUCAGCAAGACAGAAGUUCCCAGCGGAAAAGCAGAAUGUGCUUCCUAAGCAAACAGGAUUAAUUUCCAAGUCACAGAAUUAUUAAAUCUCCCUUUGGAAUACUAUUGUUUUCCAGAAAAAGAAUCUUUUAUGGUACUGAGACAACAUGGCACCAAGAAAAGAGUAUCACAAUUUAUCCAUUCUUUUAACAAAUGUUUAUUGAACAUUUCUUAUGUGAUAGGCAUGAUGGAAAAGAAAAGAUGAACAAGGCCAUCUACGCCAAUAGUCCAUUUGGGAACAUACAUAUGACAAUAAUUGUGAAGCAGUUCAACAGGGACUGUAACAGAGGUUUGUACAAGGUCCUUCUGGAACAAGGAGAAGUGAGAUGCAUUUUUGGCCGGUUUCCAAGAAACUCUCACUGGGGCAUUGUAGCCUCUCAUGUGCACAUUUCCAGAGGAGAUCAUGCUAAUGUUUUGGCUCAUGGAUGAAUUUAAUAUCCAUAAGACAUUUGGGACCAUGAACACAGAUAUAAGAAGAGAGAACCUGGCCCAGAGAAGGAGACAACAGAGUCUUGGAAUGAAUGAAAAUAAAGGAACUAAGGCUCAAGUUUCUGAAUAUUCACAGAAUUUCCCAACAGUGGAAAAAGUACAGUGCCCAUUGUUCCCAGUGAGGCCACCAGAAAUAGAUAAGGAGGAGGUACUAUUGCAACUCUGGCUGACCCAUCACAUAGCUUCAUCUUUCAGAGAAGAGAAAGAUACAAUGAAGAGCUGGGAUAUUUUAUUACUGUCCUAGAGGCCGGAACAUUUUAUUCUAUUGCUCUUAAAAAUGUCUAAAGUGCAUCAAUGCUGAUGAAAGGCACAUCAAGUCUUCAGUGACCUAAGGAGGGUUUCUGAAAACCCAAGGGGAGAAGAAAAUCUGUCCUCUUUCCCUGCCAAGCAGACAGGGACAUGAAGAAUCCUCUAUUGAUGGCUCCUUGUCCUAAGAUGACAAUGAACAGCUGUUGCUGCUAUCAAGUGCUUUGGAGGUGCUCCUCAGGGCAAUAAUCAAGGCCUAGAAGUUCCAAUUUUUACAUUGUUUCAUGAGAAGCAGCUGGCUUCAGACCCAAAGGGACAAACAGAAACCUUGAUAACUGUCUGGGUGUUGAUAAGUGGGUUAUAGAAAUGGCCCAUUAUUACCACAACACAAAAAAGAAUCCUCAGUGCCAAUCCCCAAAUUCCUCAUUCCAGUAAUUCAGAUAUAGGCUCUGCAAGACUUGAGAUGCAGUAUUUAAGUUCCUUUCUUUCAAUAAAUGUGCUCUGGAGUACAUUUAUAAAUAAAUUGUGCUUAUUUACUUAGAUUUCCCUGAGAACUUGAUUCGUGAGCACUAACAGUUUAGAGGAACUUGGGUUGAUACUGUUGGUCAUUGGUAAUGCUAGAGAGUAGUGGUUACAAUGAUGAUAUGUGUUUCUCUUGAAGCUAUCAAUUUUGCAAAGAAGAUAUUUACACAACUCAUAAAACGGAAAAUAACAAAUUGAGAAAUGAGAAGGUGCUGAGUAUGAAUAUGUCCUAAGGUACUUAUUCUUCCUUUAGGCAAAAUAGAUAGGGAUGUGGGAGAGUGAGGAUAAAUAUCAGGAGGUUACCCAUAGUGCAUUGUCUCCAAACCCUACCUAGCAGUAGUACAUGGACCUAGUAACCUGGUACCUCGUAAAUAGAUUUAACUUAGGCACACCAGGUUUCCCCUUGAGAAGUUUCCAUAUGUAUUUUUGCAUCAAUCCUUUAACUAAGGAAUUUUCACUCCCUUACAUUAAGUAUGAGUGCAGUUCUGUGAUUGACAACAAACUUCCUAGGUAGACAUUCUGCUUUGGGAAGGAUUACUGGGGAAGAAAUAUGCUUUCUGGCAUUUCAAGGAGGCUUCUCUGUGUGAGUUAUUGCUGAGGGCUCCACAGCCGCCGGGUUUGUUUACAUCAUCCCUGCACUACAGUGCGGAAUUCAUUGUUUGUAAAGCUCUUUGGGAUAAUUUGUAUAUGAAGGAUUCUAUAUAAAAAUCAGUAUUUAUUCCUUUUUGUAUUAUGCUUUUUCAGCCUGACACAUAAGGGUGCUUUUAUAUGCGGUAAGUAAGAAGUUAAGCACUCAACUCCUAUUAACAGCACUAGGAACUGGCUUCCAGCGUUCUAUCUGGGGCAAUGGGAAAGGACUCACAGGUGUGCAGGUAAAUUGAAACAAAGACAGGGGAGAGCUCAAGUACUUAUUCAGCUGCUGUAAGUUUUAUGUGCAGACAAGCUAUAAAGAAUGUGGGGAAAUUUUACUGAUUGUUGAAGCUUGAAUUACUCUGGCUUAUCUGUGGGUGUUAUUAUAUACAGAAUGUGUGUGUGUACAAAUAAUAAAAUGUCCAUUAUCAACAUCAUGUUAUAUGAUAAUUUCAAUUAAAUAGCAUAAUUUGAUUCAUUGAUGAAAUUAUACUAAUAUCUACCAUACACUUGAAAUACUGAACAAUCCUGUAACCCUUUAGAAUCUAAAGAAAGAGAUUAAACUGAGGUUUAUUGGGAUUUUGUAUUAUUUUUCUUUUUUAUUCUUAGAGCAGGAAUGGUUGAACUAAUAGUUGUAGUGACCUGCUAAAUCACAAGUUUACAAACUAUGUUUUUAUUAGUUUAAAAAUUAUAAUACAGAGUAAUGGUUUUCGUGAUGGUAUUUUCUUACAUACUUUUUGUUGAUCCUCUUACCUCCCAUCUUUUCGCCAGUCCUCUGCCCCUUUGUUAUGGUCCCCAUCCUUAUUUUAUUGAUCAUCCUUCCCCCACAUCACCUGUGUUUUGUUACUCUCUUUUAUCUUUCCUUUUCUCCCUCCCAAGUCUUCACUUUCUCCCCACUAUUCUCAUGUUCUCCUUUCUAGUUUCACAAACUAUAUACAAACAUGAAAAUUUAAAUGUAGGAGUCUUAUCUAGAGGAAACAUGCAGUAUUUGAUUUUCUAAAUCUGGAGAAUAAGCUUAAGAUUACAAUUUCCAGUCUAUCCAUUUUCUGCAAAUAUCAUGAUGUAAUUUUUUGUUAUAAAUGAGUACAAUUCUAUUAUGCAUAUAUACCAUAUUUUUGUUAUCCAUUCUUCUGUGGAUGGACAUCUAGGCUGGUUCCAUUAUAAAUUAUGAAACAAAAAAAUAUGAAUGUACAAAUAUCUCUGAUAAGACUUAGAGUCCUUUGGAUAGAUACUCAGGAGUGUUGUAGUUGUAUGAUAUGGUAGUUUAAUUUUUAUCUUAUUGAGAAGCUUCCAUACCAGUUCCCAUGGUAUCUGUAUAUGUUUACCUUCUUACCAACACUGAAUAAAGUCUC